AGUGAACGCUGGCGGUAGGCCUAACACAUGCAAGUCGAACGGCAGCACAGGAGAGCUUGCUCUCUGGGUGGCGAGUGGCGGACGGGUGAGGAAUACAUCGGAAUCUACUCUGUCGUGGGGGAUAACGUAGGGAAACUUACGCUAAUACCGCAUACGACCUACGGGUGAAAGCAGGGGAUCUUCGGACCUUGCGCGAUUGAAUGAGCCGAUGUCGGAUUAGCUAGUUGGCGGGGUAAAGGCCCACCAAGGCGACGAUCCGUAGCUGGUCUGAGAGGAUGAUCAGCCACACUGGAACUGAGACACGGUCCAGACUCCUACGGGAGGCAGCAGUGGGGAAUAUUGGACAAUGGGCGCAAGCCUGAUCCAGCCAUGCCGCGUGGGUGAAGAAGGCCUUCGGGUUAUAAAGCCCUUUUGUUGGAAAGAAAUCCAGCUGGCUAAUACCCGGUUGGGAUGACGGUACCCAAAGAAUAAGCACCGGCUAACUUCGUGCCAGCCGCCGCGGUAA
rnacentral:rRNA from 1 species